rnacentral:rRNA from 1 species
GAUGAACGCUGACAGAAUGCUUAACACAUGCAAGUCUUUGGCGAAGCUGUGCUUGCACAGCCUAGCCAAGGCGGACGGGUGAGUAACGCGUAAGGAACUUGCCCUGCAGUCAGGGAUAACAGACGGAAACGACUGAUAAGACCUGGUAAAGUCAGGCGGACUCAUGUCCAGCCUGAUGAAAAGAGAUGCUGCAGGAGAGCCUUGCGUCCUAUUAGCUUGUUGGUGGGGGAACGGCCCACCAAGGCGAUGAUAGGUAGCCGGCCUGAGAGGGUGGACGGCCGCAAGGGGACUGAGAUACGGCCCUUACUCCUACGGGAGGCAGCAGUGGGGAAUAUUGGACAAUGGGGGCAACCCUGAUCCAGCAAUUCUGUGUGCACGAUGAAGGUUUUCGGAUUGUAAAGUGCUUUCAGCAGGGAAGAAAAAAUGACGGUACCUGCAGAAGAAGCGACGGCUAAAUACGUG